AGGUUGUGAGAAUCUUGUUAAUCUUGUUCAUCUCAAUGUGAAGAAUAAUCUUCUCACUCAUGCGAAUGAACUGAAUUGUUUGUCAAAUCUCGCCCAUUUGUCAGACUUGGUGGUUGCAGGAAAUCCGUUUGUGAGAGGAAUGUUGCAUAGGGCAAGUGUGUUUGCUAGAUUGCAUCUUGUGGCUAGACAGUUAACUUUAGAUGGCUACAAGAUGUCACGAAGAGACGAGUCGAAAAUCCGUCGUCACACAUCUGUCUCCUCCACAUCAUCUCAUCUCAAACACAUCAUCAUCCAGACCCCAUCACUCUCGCUCGUUAU